UUUACCAAAAACAUAGCUAACUGCUAGGAAUUACUGUGUGUAUAGUUAGUGAAACCUGCUCACUGAAGAAAGGAAAAACAAAGAGAUUUUCUUUAAAGAGCCGCGGUAACUCUGACCGUGCUAAGGUAGCAUAAUCAAUCGCCCUUUAAUUGAGGGCUAGAAUGAAAGGAAUAACGAGCUUUUCCCUGUCUCGAGCACAGGCUAGUUGAAAUUUAGAACCUCGUUAAGACGCGAGGAUCCCCUGGUUAGACGAGAAGACCCCGUCGAGCUUUAUUCCAAAUUGUUAAUUAUCAAAUGAUAGAACUUUUGACAUGUAAGGAAUUUAGUUGGGGUGACUACCCAAAAGACAGAAACUUGGGUGAGCAAUGGUUGUUCUUAAAAGAGUAAGCUUGAUAGGGAGAAGGACACUCCUCCGUACUACUGAGCCAGUAUGUUUAAUAACCCGUUCAAAAUAAGAACGAUAACGAAAAAGCUACCGCGGGGAUAACAGGGUUAUCCAACCUAAGAGCUCCCAUCAAAGGUUGGGUUUGCCACCUCGAUGUUG
rnacentral:rRNA from 1 species